AGGUUGCGGUGAGCUGAGAUCAUGCCAUUGCACUCCAGCCUGAGCAACAAGAGUAAAACUCCAUCUCAAAAAAUAAAAAUAAAAAUAAAUAAAUAAAUAAAUUUUUUUUUUUUUUUUUUUUUUGAGACGGAGUCUUGCUCUUGUUGCCUAGGCUGGAGUGCAGUGGCGCAAUCUGAGCCCACCGCAACUU
rnacentral:pre_miRNA from 1 species